rnacentral:rRNA from 1 species
CCUACGGGAUGCAGCAGUGGGGAAUAUUGCGCAAUGGGCGAAAGCCUGACGCAGCGACGCCGCGUGAGGGAUGAAGGUCUUCGGAUCGUAAACCUCUGUCAGCAGGGAAGAACGGUCACUGUGCUAAUCAGCAGUGCAUUGACGGUACCUGCAAAGACAGCACCGUCUAACUCCGUGCAAGCAGCCGCGGUAAUACGGAGGGUGCGAGCGUUAAUCGGAAUUACUGGGCGUAAAGCGCUCGUAGGCGGUAUGUCAAGUCAAGGGUGAAAUCCCCGCGCUCAACGUGGGAACUGCCUUUGAAACUGGCAAACUGGAGUGUGUGAGAGGAUAGUGGAAUUCCAGGUGUAGGAGUGAAAUCCGUAGAUAUCUGGAGGAACACCAGUGGCGAAGGCGACUAUCUGGAACAUAACUGACGCUGAGGAGCGAAAGCGUGGGUAGCAAACAGGAUUAGAUACCCCAGUAGUC